rnacentral:misc_RNA from 1 species
AUCACCUAGUGGACCACAGAGGAGGCAUCCUAAGCAACAAGCUGUUACACCUGGUAGUUCUGGUGUAAGCAGUCAUUUUAGUGAAAAUGUACCGUCUUCAGAAGUUAGCCCCCCUUCAGAGAAUUCAAAUGCACAAAAUGUCAUUGAUGAGUUCUUUCAGCCUGUAAAGCCAGCUCUCGGGCAAAUAGUUAGGCAAAGAUUGGGUGAGGGGAGGAAGGUAACAUGUCGGUUGCUUGGAGUAAUCCUGGAGGAAACGAGCCCAGAGGAACUACAGAAACAAGCUACUGUUCGAUCCUCUGCGCUUGAAGUGUUG